AUUGAACGCUGGCGGAAUGCUUUACACAUGCAAGUCGAACGGCAGCACGGGGGCAACCCUGGUGGCGAGUGGCGAACGGGUGAGUAAUACAUCGGAACGUGCCCAGUCGUGGGGGAUAACUACGCGAAAGCGUAGCUAAUACCGCAUACGAUCUACGGAUGAAAGCGGGGGAUCGCAAGACCUCGCGCGAUUGGAGCGGCCGAUGGCAGAUUAGGUAGUUGGUGGGGUAAAGGCUCACCAAGCCGACGAUCUGUAGCUGGUCUGAGAGGACGACCAGCCACACUGGGACUGAGACACGGCCCAGACUCCUACGGGAGGCAGCAGUGAGGAAUAUUGGUCAAUGGGCGAGAGCCUGAACCAGCCAAGUCGCGUGAGGGAAGAAU
rnacentral:rRNA from 1 species